rnacentral:misc_RNA from 1 species
AGAGAAAAGCAGCUGAAACCCCGAAUCCCCAUUCACUCGAUCGACAGAAGGAAAUGACCGAUGGACCCCUUAUUAUCUUUUUUAUUAGUCAACAGUCUCAUCUCCAACUGAAUGAUCGGGCGUACUACGACUAAGAGAAUAAGGGAAUGGUCCCAGAUCCAGAUACACUACACAUUCACGCCCUCCUCCGACUGCAGACGAAGAUCGAGUUCGAAUUGAAAGUUUCCAAGGCGGAAGACAUCAACUUAGAAAGCAAUCGAAGACUUAAAACCUAAGAUAGAAGUUCCACGAAUCACCAGUCCCGCCAUACAAGACAAUAAUAAAAGAAAGAACAUGUCCUACAACCGCAUACACAUACCCUCGAUACAAAGCAAGAAAGAAAGCAAACUCAAUCCUCGCCUCGGGAUGAG